rnacentral:SRP_RNA from 1 species
GCCGGGUGUGGUGGCGGGCAUCUGUAAUCCUAGCUACCCGGGAGGCUGAGGUGGGAGAAUCGCUUGAACCCAGGAGAAGGAGGUUGCAGUGAGCUGAGACCGUGCCACUGCACUCCAGCCUGGGUGACAGAGCAAGACUCCAUCUCAA